CUGGGAGCAGCUGAGUGACAGAGUGUCAGUGCUGGAUGUGAGGAUGAGGUCCACUUUGAUCUGUGUGCUGGGAUUAUUCUUGAUGAAUAAACUCUGCUACGGACAAGAUGCAGCAGGUAGACGCAGGAUUACACUGACAGCAGACAGAAAGACCAUACGAGGACAGCAGAGUGUGACUCUGACCUGCUAUGUGGAGGACUCUGCUGG